UUCCAGAGAUGGAUUGGUGCCUUCGGGAACUGUGAGACAGGUGCUGCAUGGCUGUCGUCAGCUCGUGUUGUGAAAUGUUGGGUUAAGUCCCGCAACGAGCGCAACCCUUAUCCUUUGUUGCCAGCGAUUAGGUCGGGAACUCAAAGGAGACUGCCAGUGAUAAACUGGAGGAAGGUGGGGAUGACGUCAAGUCAUCAUGGCCCUUACGACCAGGGCUACACACGUGCUACAAUGGCGCAUACAAAGAGAAGCGACCUCGCGAGAGCAAGCGGACCUCAUAAAGUGCGUCGUAGUCCGGAUUGGAGUCUGCAACUCGACUCCAUGAAGUCGGAAUCGCUAGUAAUCGUGGAUCAGAAUGCCACGGUGAAUACGUUCCCGGGCCUUGUACACACCGCCCGUCACACCAUGGGAGUGGGUUGCAAAAGAAGUAGGUAGCUUAACCUUCGGGAGGGCGCUUACCACUUUGUGAUUCAUGACUGGGGUGAAGUCGUAACAAGGUAACCGUAGGGGAACCUGCGGUUGGAUCACCUCCUUACCUUAAAGAA
rnacentral:rRNA from 2 species